rnacentral:misc_RNA from 1 species
ACACACAAACACGCUGGAUUCAUAGAACGCAUCGGCCUUCUCGCACCUUCACAUAGUGCCGCUCCCCCUCCUGCCCUCCUUCCCCUCUCCUCGGCUCUCUCCCGUGUAUACACUCCUCCAUAUCAAUACAUACCCUCACGCUUCGUCGUCGGUGUGCGGCAGGAGCACUCGGGCCGACACAGACGAACCAUCCCGUCACAGGCGAAUGCAGUGUCUCCUAACUCCCCGAAACGUGACGGUGCAGACGAAACAAACAGAGAAGGGUCUGAAAAUGUCUCCAUCAUCACUGCGCGUUGCACACUCAACACCGACGUAAGCGACGACGAUAAAAUUCACGCAAGAGCCCGCGCAGAACCUCCGCGGCAAGCACCACGCAAAAAAAUAACAAGGAUGCGGACACUCGCGGACGUUUUUUUUUUAUCGUCUUCAAUACUUCCAUGUUCGUACUUCCCUGUUGCCGUGUGGUCUCCUGGCGCAGAGUAGCGCCGCGGAGAAUGCAUGGCAAGAAAGGAAGCACCACACACACACACACGACUGCCGUCUCUUUCAGCUCCGUUCUUGCGUUCUUGUCCCUCUCCCAUUCCUUUUUCGCUGUUUCACGCGAAACGUGUCAUCCCUCCCCCUCCUCCUCGACUCGUCGUCACAACUGCGCCUCUGUUGCCGGUUUGCGUGUUCUCAUGGCAAAUAGAACUUUGGCUGUCGCUCCUCUGCCGCACCUCGCGUCCGCUGCGCCCCCCCCCCCCCACCCCACUCCCUUUUCCCUAUUCUCUCUCGAUAAGGUCGUGCGCCGCCACUUCAACCCCCCCCCCUCGUCGGGUAGCGUUGGCCUUCUCGUCCUUGCCAGCCAUCCCUCCUCUGUUGCCACAAUCAAGAAGCCGCAGAUACACGCAUCGCCUGCGCCACGCUGCCCGCCUGUCUGUCUCUCCCUCUCUCCCUGCGAACCUCCCAUUCAACUCGUGCCCCUAACUUCCUCCUUCGCUGCUGCUGCCGGCGCGCCACUCAGUGUCACUCUUGCUUCGUCCUGUCGAAGCUCUUUCCAGUUUCGCUGUCGCGCAUGGUUUCAUCUCUGCUGUUUCCUGCGUCCGUGCGUGCGUGCGUGUUGCCCUUUAGUGGGGAUUUGUGUCUCCCCUCUCGGCCCCCUCCCCAUGCCCAACACACACACACACACACACCGCCCUUCCUCCUGCUUCCUUGCCUCGUUCUUUAG